UACGUAGGGUGCGAGCGUUAAUCGGAAUUACUGGGCGUAAAGCGUGCGCAGGCGGUUCGUUAUGUCCGAUGUGAAAGCCCCGAGCUCAACCUGGGAAUGGCAUUGGAUACUGGCUCGCUAGAGUGCGGUAGAGGGUGGUGGAAUUCCCGGUGUAGCAGUGAAAUGCGUAGAGAUCGGGAGGAACAUCUGUGGCGAAGGCGGCCACCUGGACCAACACUGACACUGAGGCACGAAAGCGUGGGGAGCAAACAGG
rnacentral:rRNA from 1 species